rnacentral:rRNA from 1 species
CCUACGGGGGGCAGCAGUGAGGAAUAUUGGUCAAUGGGCGCGAGCCUGAACCAGCCAAGUAGCGUGAAGGAUGACUGCCCUACGGGUUGUAAACUUCUUUUAUAAAGGAAUAAAGUGAGGCACGUGUGCCUUUUUGUAUGUACUUUAUGAAUAAGGAUCGGCUAACUCCGUGCCAGCAGCCGCGGUAAUACGGAGGAUGCGAGCGUUAUCCGGAUUUAUUGGGUUUAAAGGGUGCGUAGGCGGACUGGAAAGUCAGCGGUAAAAUCGAGAGGCUCAACCUCUUUCCGCCGUUGAAACUGUCGGUC